rnacentral:rRNA from 1 species
GUGUCAGCCGCCGCGGUAAUACGAACUGUGCGAACGUUAUUCGGAAUCACUGGGCUUACAGGGUGCGUAGGCGGCUUUUCAAGUCAGGUGUGAAAGCCCCCGGCUCAACCGGGGAAUUGCGCUUGAAACUGGAGAGCUCGAGUCAGCUAGAGGUGCACGGAACUUCCAGUGGAGCGGUGAAAUGUGUUGAUAUUGGAAGGAACACCGGAGGCGAAAGCGGUGCACUGGGGCUGGUCUGACGCUGAGGCACGAAAGCCAGGGGAGCGAACGGGAUUAGAUACCCCAGUAGUCC